rnacentral:rRNA from 1 species
AAAUUGAAGAGUUUGAUCAUGGCUCAGAUUGAACGCUGGCGGCAGGCCUAACACAUGCAAGUCGAGCGGUAGCACAGAGAGCUUGCUCUCGGGUGACGAGCGGCGGACGGGUGAGUAAUGUCUGGGAAACUGCCUGAUGGAGGGGGAUAACUACUGGAAACGGUAGCUAAUACCGCAUAACGUCGCAAGACCAAAGUGGGGGACCUUCGGGCCUCAUGCCAUCAGAUGUGCCCAGAUGGGAUUAGCUAGUAGGUGGGGUAACGGCUCACCUAGGCGACGAUCCCUAGCUGGUCUGAGAGGAUGACCAGCCACACUGGAACUGAGACACGGUCCAGACUCCUACGGGAGGCAGCAGUGGGGAAUAUUGCACAAUGGGCGCAAGCCUGAUGCAGCCAUGCCGCGUGUGUGAAGAAGGCCUUCGGGUUGUAAAGCACUUUCAGCGGGGAGGAAGGCGNCGAUUGACGUUACCCGCAGAAGAAGCACCGGCUAACUCCGUGCCAGCAGCCGCGGUAAUACGGAGGGUGCAAGCGUUAAUCGGAAUUACUGGGCGUAAAGCGCACGCAGGCGGUCUGUCAAGUCGGAUGUGAAAUCCCCGGGCUCAACCUGGGAACUGCAUUCGAAACUGGCAGGCUAGAGUCUUGUAGAGGGGGGUAGAAUUCCAGGUGUAGCGGUGAAAUGCGUAGAGAUCUGGAGGAAUACCGGUGGCGAAGGCGGCCCCCUGGACAAAGACUGACGCUCAGGUGCGAAAGCGUGGGGAGCAAACAGGAUUAGAUACCCUGGUAGUCCACGCCGUAAACGAUGUCGAUUUGGAGGUUGUGCCCUUGAGGCGUGGCUUCCGGAGCUAACGCGUUAAAUCGACCGCCUGGGGAGUACGGCCGCAAGGUUAAAACUCAAAUGAAUUGACGGGGGCCCGCACAAGCGGUGGAGCAUGUGGUUUAAUUCGAUGCAACGCGAAGAACCUUACCUGGUCUUGACAUCCACAGAACUUNUUGGUGCCUUCGGGAACUGUGAGACAGGUGCUGCAUGGCUGUCGUCAGCUCGUGUUGUGAAAUGUUGGGUUAAGUCCCGCAACGAGCGCAACCCUUAUCCUUUGUUGCCAGCGGUUAGGCCGGGAACUCAAAGGAGACUGCCAGUGAUAAACUGGAGGAAGGUGGGGAUGACGUCAAGUCAUCAUGGCCCUUACGACCAGGGCUACACACGUGCUACAAUGGCAUAUACAAAGAGAAGCGACCUCGCGAGAGCAAGCGGACCUCAUAAAGUAUGUCGUAGUCCGGAUUGGAGUCUGCAACUCGACUCCAUGAAGUCGGAAUCGCUAGUAAUCGUAGAUCAGAAUGCUACGGUGAAUACGUUCCCGGGCCUUGUACACACCGCCCGUCACACCAUGGGAGUGGGUUGCAAAAGAAGUAGGUAGCUUAACCUUCGGGAGGGCGCUUACCACUUUGUGAUUCAUGACUGGGGUGAAGUCGUAACAAGGUAACCGUAGGGGAACCUGCGGUUGGAUCACCUCCUUACCUUAAAGAA